UGAGUAACCAAUACCUGAACGUACCCGAUCUCAUCUGAUCUCGGAAGCUAAGCAGGGUCGGGCCUGGUUAGUACUUGGAUGGGAGGAUUUUUUUUUUUAGAGAUUUAUUUAUUUACUUAA
ensembl:rRNA 5S_rRNA 5S ribosomal RNA